GCGGGAGACGGGUCUUUUACUUUGAAAAAAUCAGAGUGUUUCAAGCAGGCAGUCGCUCUUGCAUGGAUUAGCAUGGGAUAAUGAAAUAGGACUCUGGUGCUAUUUUGUUGGUUUCGAACACCGGAGUAAUGAUUAACAGGGACAGUCAGGGGCACUCGUAUUCCGCCGAGAGAGGUGAAAUUCUCAGACCAGCGGAAGACGAACCACUGCGAAAGCAUUUGCCAGGGAUGUUUUCACUGAUCAAGAACGAAAGUUAGGGGAUCGAAGACGAUCAGAUACCGUCGUAGUCUUAACCAUAAACCAUGCCGACUAGGGAUUGGAGGAUGUUCCAUUUGUGACUCCUUCAGCACCUUUCGGGAAACUAAAGUCUUUGGGUUCCGGGGGGAGUAUGGUCGCAAGGCUGAAACUUAAAGGAAUUGACGGAAGGGCACCACCAGGAGUGGAGCCUGCGGCUUAAUUUGACUCAACACGGGGAAACUUACCAGGUCCAGACAUUGUGAGGAUUGACAGAUUGAGAGCUCUUUCUUGAUUCGAUGGGUGGUGGUGCAUGGCCGUUCUUAGUUGGUGGAGUGAUUUGUCUGGUUAAUUCCGUU
rnacentral:rRNA from 1 species